UUUACGUUAUAUUUUAAAACACAAAAGGAACUAAAUGAAAAAUAAAGGGAAAUAACAAAACUAACCUAAAACAUAAACUCACCAGCACUUACGUUACCCAUUUCCUAUCCACCCAAAAAUAAUUCAAAAAACUAAUCCCUUUAACCCCCUUUCCCUAAUAACUCUCAACAAUACAUAAAAUGCCUAGUGGACUUUAUUUAUAAAAAAAAUACUCUCAACAAUACUUAUCUUCCAUUCUCCCACUCCCUCACGUUCACCCUUAUCUCUCUCACCAUAAAACUCUCAACCAAACCCAAUCCUAAUAAAAAAACUAAUUCCCUAUCCCUUAGAACCAUCAACCGUAAUUAUCCCUUAAAAAUCCUACUCCCUUACGCCUCUUUAACCAGCAACAACAUACAACUAUAUAUACUCCCAUAUCAUACAACGUAUAGAGAACACAUCAGAAGUAGUAGAGAGAAAAAAAGUAAAACAGUAAAAGAAAAACAGUGAGCAAAAGAAAAUAUAGAGAGGAAAAAUACUUAGAGCAAUUUAGGUGUUUCGGAAAGGUUUUAUUCGAGUACGAAGUUUUCGUUUGAGGUUUCCGCCGAGUUCAAAAGUUUUCCGAUCGAGCUUCAUUUAGUCAUCUAAGAUCGCUGUUUUGAUUUGCAGAGACAUUUGAGGUGCAGGUAGACAGACAGGUGGUCCAGCUUAGUAGGACUUUUAUCCAGCAACGAUCAGUGCACUCCAUUUGAUCCGGAGUUGCAUUCUAUUUUGGUAUGCCAUUCUUUUGAGGUAUAUAUAUAUGGGAAUGGCGGGGCCCUGUCCCGUCCUUCUACGGUUUUUAUUCCACUAGAGGUCUGUAGACAGUUGUAUAUAUGAAUCAGAUGAUGUAGCCUUGUUGACUUCUAUUAUUUUAUGUACAAUAUAUGUAGCAGCCUGGCUGGCUUGCACUGUUCUUUCAAUAUGUUUAUGUAUAUACAGAAUGAUCAGAGUU